UACAGAGGUCUCAAGCGUUGUUCGGAUUCAUUGGGCGUAAAGGGUGCGUAGGCGGCGCGGUAAGUCGGGUGUGAAAUCUCGGGGCUUAACUCCGAAACUGCAUUCGAUACUGCCGUGCUUGAGGACUGGAGAGGAGACUGGAAUUUACGGUGUAGCGGUGAAAUGGGUAGAUAUCGUAAGGAAGACCAGUGGCGAAGGCGGGUCUCUGGACAGUUCCUGACGCUGAGGCACGAAGGUCAGGGGAGCAAACGGG
rnacentral:rRNA from 1 species